AAGGGAGACGCAUCAGAGGAUCCAAGUCUAUGAACUUGGCUUUUCUUAUCCGGUCCCCGGGAACGGGAGCAGUCUACCAGAGAGGGAAGGGGAAUGACAAUUUGUCAGGACACGAUUCCGUUUGCUUUCCAGAGAAAUUUUAUUUUCAUUCUUGAGUAAUGAUUUCUUCUGUUCUUAAAGCAAAGGGGGAAGGAUGGAUGCAAAAAAAAAAAAAAGAAAGAAAAGAAAAGAAAAAGAAAAAUCACGUUUCAAGAUACGGUAAGCUAUUUCUUGGAACAAGCCUCACGUUGCUUUCCUUGUGUAGGGCAAACCCGCUGUCCCCGAGCGCCUCGGUGGUCAGACUGAGGGAUUUCUACCUCACACUGUGCACAUUGCACAGCAAGAUAGAAAGAUUUGUUUAUAUUAAACAGCCUAUUUAUGUAUCAAUAUUAGUUGGAAGGACCAGGCGCUGAGCCUUUCUCUGUAACAUGUGACUCUGUCAAUUGAAGACAGGACAGGAAAAACAAAAGAGGAAAUAGUUGAGAUUACUGCACAUGUUGGUAAAAACAAAACAAACACAAAAGGAGUGGUUUAAAAUGCCAUUUUUGCACAGUGUUAGGAAUUGUAAAAUCCACAGAAGAUGUUACUUGCACAAAGAGAAAUUAAUAUUUUUAAGUGGGGGGGGCCUUAAAAACUAAAAUAAAAUUUAAAUUCUACUUCUGUUGUCUAUUAUGUUAUUGAGCUAAUGAUUGAUUGAGAAAAUACCUUUUAUACUCUUUUAUCAUGGUACUGUAACUGUAUCCAUAUUAUAAAUAUAAUUAUCUUAAGGAAUUUUUUAUUAUUUUUUUAUGUCCAAGUGCCCAUGUGACUCUGCUGGUAUAAUUUAGCACUUAAGUGUAAAUUCUAUUUCCUCUUGUGUGUUUUACCAAGUAUUUAUACUCUGGUGCAACUAACUACUGUGUGAGGAAUUGGUCCAUGUGCAAUAAAUACCAAUGAAGCACAACCAAGAUUAUGUACCGCUUGUCUAUAAGGGGUCAGUGAUAAUAAAAAAGACAGGUUGUUUAGUUCAAAAUACAAACUGAAUUUCUCAUAGAGCUCUUUUAAUAGCUUUUGUGACUCAAUAACAUAGCAAAAUGCCUCUAGACCAAAUAAGGCAUUCACCUACUGAGAACUGCAGAUCUGUCCUAAAUUUUCGUAGCCAGAUUCAAGGUAUUGUAGACUACUUGCUGGAUCCCAUCUGCUGCACUUGACUUAAGUGACAUUUGGGAUUGUGUAUUGUCUUAAAAAAGAAAAAAAAAAAUCAGACCAAGUAACUCAGCUACAACUUUGCACAGAAACAAGAAAGACUAACUUACACAAGCCAGCAGUGGCCUAUUUGGAAUGCGCUCCAUCAGUAACCACGGAGCAGGCAGCAAGACCAGUGAGAGGCGGCGGAGGAGAGCAAGGGGCACACACGUCUAAUCUGUUCCUCUGGAGAUUCCAGAACCAUUUCUGUCCUUGAGAAAUGCCUGCUGCAGGAAACGAAAGUCCCUCCGUAAUAUCUCAUCAAAAUUCUGAGACUGGAACGCUUAGUCAGAUGCCUCUUCACCGGAAAGUGGAGGUGGCAGAUCCUCCGAGAGAAGAAACGGUCUGCUCCUGAGCACAGAUUGCAACAGAAGGUCUGCCCACAUCGCGGUAGGACAUCUUACUUCUGGUCUACCUGCUCCAUGGUUGUCUCGCCAGCACACGAGAUCCACUCACUCAUCCUGAUAUUUGCACCUGGUCCUCCUGUGCGUUCCGGAAGUAUCCGCAUGCCGGCUGCUUGAAGCCCUGGCGGUCAUAGGUCGGCGUCUGGUUGGGCUUGAACUUCAUCACUUCUUUCACUGCUGCUGCUCCUCUGGCCAGAGAGUGGGGACAAGGGCCAGUCGGGGCACAGGGGCGCUGGUGGGUGAGGCAGCAGCGAGGGGGAAAGCAAGCAAGACCGUCCAUCGGAGGCGGCAGCUGCUCCAAAGCCACAAAGCAGUAUUUUCCAAAAA